rnacentral:rRNA from 1 species
CAAUAGCGUAUAUUUAAGUUGUUGCAGUUAAAAAGCUCGUAGUUGGAUUUCGGGUGGGACGCAGCGGUCUCGCAUUGCGUUUGUACUGCUGCAGCCCUCCUUCUUGCCGGGGGCGGCCUCUCGGACUUCACUGUCUGGGGGUCAGAAUCGGCGAUGUUACUUUGAGUAAAUUAGAGUGUUCAAAGCAAGCUUACGCUCUGAAUAUAAUAGCAUGGGAUAACACGACAGGACUCUGGCCUAUCGUGUUGGUCUAUAGGACCAGAGUAAUGAUUAAGAGGGACAGUCGGGGGCAUUCGUAUUCCGUUGUCAGAGGUGAAAUUCUUGGAUUUACGGAAGACGAACAUCUGCGAAAGCAUUUGCCAUGGAUGCUUUCAUUAA